ensembl:lncRNA
GUUGAUAUUAUUGCAGCUGAAGAAGCAGUUAGAGUUGAUAUUAUUGCACCUGAAGAAGCAGUUAGAGUUGAUAUUAUUGCACCUGAAGAAGCAGUUAGAGUUGAUAUUAUUGCACCUGAAGAAGCAGUUAGAGUUGAUAUUAUUGCAGCUGAAGAAGUAGUUAGAGUUGAUAUUAUUGCACCUGAAGAAGCAGUUAGAGUUGAUAUUAUUGCACCUGAAGAAGCAGUUAGAGUUGAUAUUAUUGCACCUGAAGAAGUAGUUAGAGUUGAUAUUAUUGCACCUGAAGAAGUAGUUAGAGUUGAUAUUAUUGCACCUGAAGAAGUAGUUAGAGUUGAUAUUAUUACACCUGAAGAAGUAGUUAGAGUUGAUAUUAUUGCACCUGAAGAAGCAGUUAGAGUUGAUAUUAUUGCACCUGAAGAAGUAGUUAGAGUUGAUAUUAUUGCACCUGAAGAAGUAGUUAGAGUUGAUAUUAUUGCACCUGAAGAAGCAGUUAGAGUUGAUAUUAUUGCAGCUGAAGAAGCAGUUAGAGUUGAUAUUAUUGCACCUGAAGAAGCAGUUAGAGUUGAUAUUAUUGCACCUGAAGAAGCAGUUAGAGUUGAUAUUAUUGCACCUGAAGAAGCAGUUAGAGUUGAUAUUAUUGUAGCUGAAGAAGCAGUUAGAGUUGAUAUUAUUGCAGCUGAAGAAGUAGUUAGAGUUGAUAUUAUUGCAGCUGAAGAAGCAGUUAGAGUUGAUAUUAUUGCAGCUGAAGAAGCAGUUAGAGUUGAUAUUAUUGCAGCUGAAGAAGCAGUUAGAGUUGAUAUUAUUGCAGCUGAAGAAGCAGUUAGAGUUGAUAUUAUUGCAGCUGAAGAAGCAGUUAGAGUUGAUAUUAUUGCAGCUGAAGAAGCAGUUAGAGUUGAUAUUAUUGCAGCUGAAGAAGCAGUUAGAGUUGAUAUUAUUGCACCUGAAGAAGUAGUUAGAGUUGAUAUUAUUGCACCUGAAGAAGCAGUUAGAGUUGAUAUUAUUGCACCUGAAGAAGUAGUUAGAGUUGAUAUUAUUGCACCUGAAGAAGUAGCUGCAGGUGAUGCACUUGCACUGUCAGAAGGUUUCCUUUCUGGUCUCGACUCCUCCAGCAAUACUGAUGAGUGUCAUGUCCUCAUGUGCCUGUGCAAGUUGUUUGUCCAGCCUGCUCUAUAUGAAAUGCUGGGGGGGGGAGAGACAGCGAGGCACCGAAGGACAAAAAAAAACGACGUUGGAAAAAGACUGUCGGCUCUGUGGCACUUGCAGAGCACAAGCGCAGCGACAGGGAGGCGGAGAGACCGCGAGAUACUGAAGGAAAAAACGGCUCCCGAAUAG